GCGCUCAUGGUGGAAUGGCAGACACACUAGACUGAGACUCUAGGCUCGAAAGGGCGUCCGGGUUCGAGUCCCGGUGGGCGUAC
rnacentral:tRNA from 4 species